rnacentral:lncRNA from 1 species
UCACAUAUUUACUAAUAUAUAAGUUGUUUAUAGCAUCUACUAAGAUAUUGCAAAUGUAUCAGCAGCAUAUUGACGCUUAACAGACUCAAAUUCACUCAAAAGCCCAAGCAUUCUCCCUCCUAACUUCUUCCUCUUCCUCCGGAGUGAAGUCAUUCUUAAUGUUGAAUGUCUUACGGAUCUCCUCAGGGGUCUUCCCUUUGAUCAUGUCUGCAACUGUCUGACAUGUCAGAUCAAGCAAGCUCUUUAUGUUCAAAUAGUUGGCAGCCUGUAAAAAGAUAAGAACAAACAAUUUACUGCAACUGCAAUGUAUACUUAACCUCUAAAAGCUCUCAACAAAAAAGGUAAUACUCAAAUCUGUAUACAGGAAAGUUGAGAGAACUAGAUAUUAGAAGGGAGGCUCCUUGUAAGACAUCAACUAGCAACUCAACACGUUAAAGAAAUUGUCAGCGACUCAACAGUCAACAGGCUUCAAAAGCCAAGACAAAAAACUUAAAUCUUAAUUUUUUUAAUGUACUAUAUUGUAGGUUAUGUAUCAUUCACAUUAUCAAUUGUAGUUUUUAUUCUAUGAGGGGAAUGGUAAACCGGCCAUGUAACCAAACUGUGCUGCAGGAAUGUCCAGGCUACUUGUUUCCUAAAAAAAAAGGGACACUAAGUAUGACUACAAGUUCUACAGGUAAAAUAUAUGCUUCAUUCUAACUUUACACAUACAAGCAUGUCUUCUUACCCAAUUGAUUUAGAAUGAGCAAUGGAAAUUGUUCACUAUAAUAAUAUACUUUGAACUAAGCAAAUAAAAAGUUCAGCACUUGAUCAUGACAAAAAGGAGAAGCAAACUAUCGGAAAUAAGAUACUAUUAAAAGAAGCAGUCAAAAAUUUACUUCAUUACUUCAAACGCCAUAACACCCAAAAACCAACUGCAGUUUGUUGUAUAACACAUUAGAGUGACUGUGUAUUGAAAUGUCAUGGACCUGAAUAAGGCAAAAUGAUAUUGAAGACCUUGCCUGGUUUGGGAUUGAAGCAUAGUUGAUUGAUUAGUUCAUUCAACAUAAGCUAAUAAUGAAGCUUAUACAUGUGCAUACUAGAGUAGAAGCUCAGCCUAUGGAAAUUCAAGCAGUAAAUAAAUGCCAAGAACACGGGCAAUGGAAGCCAAAAGUAGAAGGUGCAAUGAUAAUAGGCUACAUAGACAAUACUUACACCCUAAUUAUACCAUGCUUUAUUGUUGUUUUAUAGGCUAAAUGAUAACAAAAUGCUCUAAUUGGUGUUCUUUUGGUUCGCAGGGACUAAUCCAAGUUAGGAAGAGCUAUGGAGUGUUUUGGAGUCAAUAAUGUAAAGAAAACGUCCAAUCAAGAAGCACCAGAGUGGAAAGAAGCAAAAAGUGGACUGGGUUUGAAUCCACCGCGACCGCGGUUGGACCGCGGCCGCGGUGAACUAUGCAGUUGCUAGAAAUUCUGGGACCAAAGUGUAACUCGGGGAAGACUUAUUCCAAACCCUUAUAAAUUCAAAAAGCUCGCCCAAGAAAGUAUCAAGCUUGUUUUUAGAUUACUUUGAAGACAAGAACAAGUUUGAGAAGAUCAACCAAACAUUAGAGUUUUUUUAUCUUCUCUUUAUUAUUGCAAUUACACAUUAUGAACAAUUUCGUAGUUUUAUCUUGCUUUGUUAUGAGUAGCUAAACAUUUGAUCUAGGGUUGAUGGAACCAAUUGUUGGAUGAAGUUUUGACUCAACUUUGUUAUAAUCGAGCCGGGUUUAUUAUAUGAUUGUUCAACUAUGUUUUGUAUGGUGAUUAAUUGAAUAGGCCCUUGAUUAAUCGUGUCUAAUUGCCUUGUGUUGCUUGAGAAAGAAUACUAGGUUAGACUGCUGAACACCACUUUUGAGUAAUUGAAGAGAUUCAUUACUUGAACUAAAAAAUGGGGUUAGAGAUAACGAAGCUUUGGUGGGAUAAUUCAGAGCUGCACAAAUUAUCAGGUAGAGUAGUUCGAGAGAAUGCUCUAGUAAAUUAUCAUAGUUGAUCGAAAGAUAACUACGAUAACCCAUAGCUUAUAAUCCUCAUAGAGUAUUACGGCGAGAUUAUAGCAAAAGAGUUAAAGCCUAAACUAGCAAUUGGGGAAAUCAAUACCCUAGACCUUUUUACCAUUGAAUUAUCUUUGAUUUAGCAUAUUGUUAUAUUUAAUAUCAUUUGAAGUAGUUAAACAAAAACCCAAUCUUUAUUGAUAAAAAUUUUGUAUCUGAAAAUUGUUUGAGUUGAUAAUAGCAUUGCCAAGAGCUGUAAUAGAUAGGUUAGUUCCUUGAGGAUUCGACUCCGGACUUAAAACCGGAUUAUAUUUGCAACGACCGCUUUGUCUUUCAGAAGGCAUAGUUGGGCGUGAUCAUGCAACAACAACAACAAAUAUGGCUCUGUCCAAACAACUUGAGGUCGACUACAUGAACCCUCACUAAACAUCUUACUCCAUUUAAAUCAUCUCAUGCCAAUAUUUAUGCAAAUACUGAAGGUACAUUAACAACUCUUAUAAAUCCACACAUAAACAAAAAUACCAAAAUAUUAACAAAGCCGAUGACAAAAAACUAAUAAUAAUAGUUUACACAACUACCAAUCCACAAGGCCCAAACAAAAAAUCAGGGAAACAAUCAAAGCCAAAUAACACUCCAUCAGUUCUCAUUUAUAUGGAACUACUACUAGAAGAGCCACAUAGUUUCUCUUUAGCUAAAACUUUUUCAUGGAUUUAAUCUAUAUAUACUGACAGUAUUAAAGUUUUUUUCACACCAUCAGUGACUUUUAACCUAUUGAUAGCAGUUUUGCUACUAGUUACCAAUUUUAUCAGAUUACUAAUUAAUGUUUACCAAGAGAUUUACAUGUAAUUACCUAAUAAGUGACCAUCAAUGCGUAGAACUUAAACUCUCUCUUCAUACAUAUCUAAAAUGACUCAUAAGUGCCUAUUCAAUGAUUUAACGGUCUUACUCAGAACCCUAGAUGAAUUAAGUAAGAUACACAUAAUAAUCUUCACGAAGUUCAAAAAUUAGUCUCAACAGCAGUAUCAAAAUAAAGAGAUACAGACCAGGAUGAGAUCGAAGAGGGUACUCUGGUCAACUUUGACAAAGUCAGCAUCGAAAGCCUUGAGAUCGUCCUCGACGGCCUUAUCUUCCGUCUUAGAGGCGGCGUCCACGUGGCGCUUGCAGUACUCAAUCACCUUAGCUAAGAUCUUGCUCGUCACGUUAGGUAAAGGGAUGCUGGUGUCGGCGCAGUCGUCUUCGAUCAUAUGCUUGAUUGUCUGCGACUCUAGGGCAACUGACUCUUCUACCUCGAAGGUUUCGCCGUC